rnacentral:rRNA from 1 species
AACGAACGCUGGCGGCAUGCCUAACACAUGCAAGUCGAACGAGACCUUCGGGCUUACUCGUGCACUCGUCGGUAGAGCGUUGGGUCCUGCCUAUAGAUCUGCAAUAACGUGCCGAAUGAGGUCCUAAUACCGGCUCUUGUCUCCCAUCCAUAGUUUUAUAGACUUUGGAUGGGCCUGGGUUGGAUUAGCUAGUGGUUAGGGUAAAAGCCUACCAAGGCGACGAUCCAUAGCUGGGUUGAGAGGAUGGUCAGCCACACUGGUAGUGAGACACGGUCCAGAAUCCUACGGGAGGCAGCAGUGGGGAAUAUUGGACAGUGGGCGAAAGCAUGAUCCAGCAAUGCCGCGUGAGUGAUGAAGGCCUUAGGGUUGUAAAGCUAUUUUACCCGGGAUGAUAAUGACAGUACCGGGAGAAUAAGCACCGGCUAACUCCGUG